AGGACGAACGCUGGCGGCGUGCCUAAUACAUGCAAGUAGAACGCUGAAGAGAGGAGCUUGCUCUUCUUGGAUGAGUUGCGAACGGGUGAGUAACGCGUAGGUAACCUGCCUUGUAGCGGGGGAUAACUAUUGGAAACGAUAGCUAAUACCGCAUAACAAUGGAUGACACAUGUCAUUUAUUUGAAAGGGGCAAUUGCUCCACUACAAGAUGGACCUGCGUUGUAUUAGCUAGUAGGUGAGGUAAUGGCUCACCUAGGCGACGAUACAUAGCCGACCUGAGAGGGUGAUCGGCCACACUGGGACUGAGACACGGCCCAGACUCCUACGGGAGGCAGCAGUAGGGAAUCUUCGGCAAUGGGGGCAACCCUGACCGAGCAACGCCGCGUGAGUGAAGAAGGUUUUCGGAUCGUAAAGCUCUGUUGUAAGUCAAGAACGGGUGUGAGAGUGGAAAGUUCACACUGUGACGGUAGCUUACCAGAAAGGGACGGCUAACUACGUGCCAGCAGCCGCGGUAAUACGUAGGUCCCGAGCGUUGUCCGGAUUUAUUGGGCGUAAAGCGAGCGCAGGCGGUUUGAUAAGUCUGAAGUUAAAGGCUGUGGCUCAACCAUAGUUCGCUUUGGAAACUGUCAAACUUGAGUGCAGAAGGGGAGAGUGGAUUCCAUGUGUAGCGGUGAAAUGCGUAGAUAUAUGGAGGAACACCGGUGGCGAAAGCGGCUCUCUGGGUCUGUAACUGACGCUGAGGCUCGAAAGCGUGGGGAGCGAACAGGAUUAGAUACCCUGGUAGUCCACGGCCGUAAACGAUGAGUGCUAGGUGUUGGAUCCUUUCCGGGAUUCAGUGCCGCAGCUAACGCAUUAAGCACUCCGCCUGGGGAGUACGACCGCAAGGUUGAAACUCAAAGGAAUUGACGGGGGCCCGCACAAGCGGUGGAGCAUGUGGUUUAAUUCGAAGCAACGCGAAGAACCUUACCAGGUCUUGACAUCCCGAUGCUAUUUCUAGAGAUAGAAAGUUACUUCGGUACAUCGGUGACAGGUGGUGCAUGGUUGUCGUCAGCUCGUGUCGUGAGAUGUUGGGUUAAGUCCCGCAACGAGCGCAACCCCUAUUGUUAGUUGCCAUCAUUCAGUUGGGCACUCUAGCGAGACUGCCGGUAAUAAACCGGAGGAAGGUGGGGAUGACGUCAAAUCAUCAUGCCCCUUAUGACCUGGGCUACACACGUGCUACAAUGGUUGGUACAACGAGUUGCGAGUCGGUGACGGCGAGCUAAUCUCUUAAAGCCAAUCUCAGUUCGGAUUGUAGGCUGCAACUCGCCUACAUGAAGUCGGAAUCGCUAGUAAUCGCGGAUCAGCACGCCGCGGUGAAUACGUUCCCGGGCCUUGUACACACCGCCCGUCACACCACGAGAGUUUGUAACACCCGAAGUCGGUGAGGUAACCUUUUGGAGCCAGCCGCCUAAGGUGGGACAGAUGAUUUGGGGUGAAGUCGUAACA
rnacentral:rRNA from 1 species